rnacentral:rRNA from 1 species
AGAGUUUGAUCAUGGCUCAGAUUGAACGUUGGCGGCAGGCUUAACACAUGCAAGUCGAACGAGAAAGUACCUUCGGGUGCGAGUAAAGUGGCGGACGGGUGAGUAACGCGUAGGAAUCUACCCAAUAGCGGGGGACAACUCGGGGAAACUCGAGCUAAUACCGCAUACGCUCUCUUCGCAAGAAGGGAGGAAAGGGGCCCUCUCCUUGGAAGGUCUCACUAUUGGAGGAGCCUGCGUUGGAUUAGCUUGUUGGUGAGGUAAAGGCUCACCAAGGCUACGAUCCAUAGCUGGUCUGAGAGGACGAUCAGCCACACUGGAACUGAGACACGGUCCAGACUCCUACGGGAGGCAGCAGUGGGGAAUCUUGGGCAAUGGGCGCAAGCCUGACCCAGCCAUGCCGCGUGUGUGAAGAAGGCCUUCGGGUUGUAAAGCACUUUCAGUAGUGAAGAAAAGUUUCGGGUUAAUACCCCGGAACCUUGACGUUAGCUACAGAAGAAGCACCGGCUAACUCCGUGCCAGCAGCCGCGGUAAUACGGAGGGUGCGAACGUUAAUCGGAAUUACUGGGCGUAAAGCGCGCGUAGGCGGUUUGAUAAGCGGGAUGUAAAAGCCCUGGGCUCAACCUGGGAACUGCAUUCCAAACUGUCAGACUAGAGUUUGGUAGAGGGAGGUGGAAUUUCCUGUGUAGCGGUGAAAUGCGUAGAUAUAGGAAGGAACACCAGUGGCGAAGGCGGCCUCCUGGACCAAAACUGACGCUGAGGUGCGAAAGCGUGGGGAGCAAACAGGAUUAGAUACCCUGGUAGUCCACGCCGUAAACGAUGAGAACUAGCCGUUGGGGCCCUUGAGGCUUUGGUGGCGCAGCUAACGCGAUAAGUUCUCCGCCUGGGGAGUACGGCCGCAAGGUUAAAACUCAAAUGAAUUGACGGGGGCCCGCACAAGCGGUGGAGCAUGUUGUUUAAUUCGAUGCAACGCGAAGAACCUUACCACCCCUUGACAUACUCGGAACUUUCCAGAGAUGGAUUGGUGCCUUCGGGAACCGAGAUACAGGUGCUGCAUGGCUGUCGUCAGCCCGUGUCGUGAGAUGUUGGGUUAAGUCCCGUAACGAGCGCAACCCUUGUCCUUACUUGCCAGCGGGUCAUGCCGGGAACUUUAAGGAGACCGCCGGUGACAAACCGGAGGAAGGUGGGGACGACGUCAAGUCAUCAUGGCCCUUACGGGGUGGGCUACAAACGUGCUACAAUGGGAGGCACAAAGGGCUGCAAACCAGCGAUGGUGAGCGAAUCCCAAAAAACCUCUCGUAGUCCGGAUAGGAGUCUGCAACUCGACUCCUUGAAGUCGGAAUCGCUAGUAAUCGCGAAUCAGAAUGUCGGGGUGAAUACGUUCCCGGGCCUUGUACACACCGCCCGUCACGUCAUGGGAGUGGGUUGCACCAGAAGUAGCUAGUCUAACCUUCGGGAGGGCGGUUACCACGGUGUGGCUCAUGACUGGGACGAAGUCGUAACAAGGUA